AGUCGAACGGACUUAAUGAGCUUGCUUAUUAAGUUAGUGGCGCACGGGUGAGUAAUAUAUAGCUAACCUGCCCUUUAGUGGGGGACAACAGUUGGAAACGACUGCUAAUACCCCAUACUCCUUCUGAUCUUAAGAUCAGUUGGGAAAGAUUUAUCGCUAAAGGAUGGGGCUUUAUUGUAUCAGCUAGUUGGUGGGGUAAUGGCCCACCAAGGCAAUGACGCAUACCUGGUCUGAGAGGAUGAUCAGGCACACUGGAACUGAGACACGGUCCAGACUCCUACGGGAGGCAGCAGUGGGGAAUAUUGCACAAUGGAGGAAACUCUGAUGCAGCAACGCCGCGUGGAGGAUGACGCAUUUCGGUGUGUAAACUCCUUUUAUAGGGGAAGAUAAUGACGGUACCCUAUGAAUAAGCACCGGCUAACUCCGUGCCAGCAGCCGCGGUAAU
rnacentral:rRNA from 1 species